rnacentral:rRNA from 1 species
UGAGGAAUAUUGGUCAAUGGGCGAGAGCCUGAACCAGCCAAGUAGCGUGCGGGAUGAAGGCCCUUGUGGUCGUAAACCGCUUUUAUCAGUGAAUAAAGUGCACCACGUGUGGUGUCAUUGCAGGUAGCUGAAGAAAAAGGACCGGCUAAUUCCGUGCCAGCAGCCGCGGUAAUACGGAAGGUCCGGGCGUUAUCCGGAAUUAUUGGGUUUAAAGGGAGCGCAGGCGGGAGUAUAAGUCAGCUGUUAAAUAUCAGAGCCCAACUCUGUUAUGCAGUUGAAACUAUAUUUCUUGAGUACGCACAGGGAUGGCGGAAUUCAGGGUGUAGCGGUGAAAUGCUUAGAUAUCCUGAAGAACUCCGAUCGCGAAGGCAGCCAUCCGGAGCGUAACUGACGCUGAGGCUCGAAGGUGCGGGUAUCGAACAGGAUUAGAUACCCUGGUAGUCCGCACGGUAAACGAUGAAUACUCGCAGUUCGGUCUUUAUGAUCGAGUUGUCCAGCGAAAGCGUUAAGUAUUCCACCUGGGGAGUACGCCGGCAACGGUG